GACGAACGCUGGCGGCGUGCCUAAUACAUGCAAGUCGAACGCAGUGGGGACGGGUGAGUAACACGUGGGUAACCUCCCAUCAGAGGGGAUAACACUUGGAAACAGGUGCUAAACCGAUACUGAUGGAUGGACCCGCGGUGCAUUAGCUAGGUAGUGGGGUAACGACUCACCAAGGCCACGAUGCAUAGCCGACCAUGAAGGGUGAUCGGCGACACUGGGACUGAAACACGGCCCAGACUCCAACGAGAGGCAGCAGUAGGGAAUCUACAGCAAUGGACGAAAGUCUGACCAAGAAACGCCGCAUGAGUAAAGAAGGUUUUCGGAUCGUAAAACUCUGUUGUUAGAGAAGCGGUAUCUAACCAGAAAACCACGGCUAACUACGUGCCAGCCGCCGGGGUAAUAC
rnacentral:rRNA from 1 species